rnacentral:misc_RNA from 1 species
GUAACACUCAUACACUCGUUACCUUAUUUCAUUAACCUCUUAACUAACAGUAAACUGAAAUCACACACAAAAGCAGAAAUACAAGCAGCAAUGUCCAUAAUUAACCAUCCCAUCAUCUUUCUAAUUAAUACUUCCAAGCUGGUGCGUUAAAGCGCGACUUGAAGGCCGCUAACAGCUUAUCUCUUGGGGGAAGAUUUUCUUUGAUAACGCUGCAGCUAACAUACUCAUCAAUCCAGUUGCUCAGAAUGGGGAAUCUCUCUUUCGUCACCAAUUCAAUCCCUGUAGCUUCCUGAAUCACUCCAAGCCAGAACCCUAUUAAGUUUGCAACGAUAUCGACUACUCCAAUUGUCUCUCCUCCAAAGAACUUCUUAUCUUUCAGCUCAUUUUCAAGUGUUUUCAGGUGUACUAUCGCUUCUUCUAUGGCCUUCUCUCGUUCCUUGUCUCUGCUCCAUAUGAUCUGCCAAAUCGCAGGAUUGCACUGAACACAAGACAAGAAGGUCAACUUUGUAAAGAAAAUAAACUGAGUGAGUGAAGCCAUGAAAUGGGAUUAAUUACCUUUUCGUCUAUGAACUUAGCCCAGAAUCGUGCCAUGGCUUUUUCAUAGGGAUGCUUGGGGAAGAUGGGAUUGGUUUUCCAAGUUUCAUCGAUGUAUUCAAGAAUGACAACGGAUUCAGCAAUUGGUUUGCCAUUGUGGAGCAGCACAGGAACCUUCUUGUGAACAGGGUUGUACUGAAGAAGCAAAGGGCUCUUGUUAGCCAAAUCUUCAUCAAUAAAUUCAUAUUCUACGCCUUUAUGUUUAAGAGCCAUCUCCACCCUUCUACUGAAGGGGCUCGCCCAAAAUCCCAACAGCUUUACUUCACCCAUACUAAAUGGAGAAAAAAAAUAUUUCUCAGUGGUUUGCUGUGUUAAUUGGUUUCAUUAAUGCUUAUUUAUAAGGAGGUAG